rnacentral:rRNA from 1 species
GUGGGGAAUCUUCCGCAAUGGACGAAAGUCUGACGGAGCAACGCCGCGUGAGUGAUGAAGGUCUUCGGAUUGUAAAGCUCUGUUAAUCGGGACGAAAGAGCCUAGUGUGAAUAAUGCUAGGAAGUGACGGUGCCGGAAUAGAAAGCCACGGCUAACUACGUGCCAGCAGCCGCGGUAAUACGUAGGUGGCAAGCGUUGUCCGGAAUUAUUGGGCGUAAAGCGCGCGCAGGCGGAUCUGCCAGUCUGUCUUAAAAGUUCGGGGCUUAACCCCGUGAUGGGAUGGAAACUACAGAUCUAGAGUAUCGGAGAGGAAAGUGGAAUUCCUAGUGUAGCGGUGAAAUGCGUAGAUAUUAGGAAGAACACCAGUGGCGAAGGCGACUUUCUGGACGAAAACUGACGCUGAGGCGCGAAAGCCAGGGGAGCGAACGGGAUUAGAAACCCCGGUAGUCC